rnacentral:rRNA from 1 species
UGGUGGAGCGAUUUGUCUGGUUAAUUCCGAUAACGAACGAGACCCUGACCUGCUCACUAGUGUACAUUUGGUGACAAGUGCUACGCUUCUGAGAGGGACAAUGGGUGGCAAACCCAUGGAAGUGCUGGGCGAAAACA